CCUACGGGUGGCAGCAGUGAGGAAUAUUGGUCAAUGGCCGGAAGGCUGAACCAGCCAUGCCGCGUGAAGGUCAGUGCCCUAUGGGCGUUAAACCUUUUUUGUGCGGGAGCAAUAAUGGUCACGUGUGGCCAGACGAGAGUACCGUACGAAUAAGCAUCGGCUUACCCCCGGCCAGCAGCCGCGGUAAUACGGGGGAUGCAAGCGUUAUCCGGAUUUAUUGGGUUUAAAGGGUGCGUAGGCUGGGAGGUAAGUCAGCGGUGAAAUGCCCCCGCUCAACGGGGUGAAGUGCCAUUGAUACUGCCUUGCUGGAGUGCGGAUGCGGUAGGCGGAAUGUGUGGUGUAGCGGUGAAAUGCAUAGAUAUCACACAGAACACCGAUUGCGAAGGCAUCUCACGAAUCCGCGAUUGACGCUGAUGCACGAAAGCGUGGGUAUCAAACAGGAUUAGAUACCCUUGUAGUC
rnacentral:rRNA from 1 species